rnacentral:pre_miRNA from 1 species
UUAACUCAUAUUUGUAUGGAAUGGGAUCGUUUGCGUACGUUUGCCGCUAGGGGCGCUGUUCCAAUUUCAUACAAAAUUGGCUUA